rnacentral:rRNA from 1 species
AUUGAACGCUGGCGGCAUGCUUUACACAUGCAAGUCGAACGGCAGCACGGGUGCUUGCACCUGGUGGCGAGUGGCGGACGGGUGAGUAAUACAUCGGAACGUGUCCAGAAGAGGGGGAUAACGCAUCGAAAGAUGUGCUAAUACCGCAUAUGCUCUGAGGAGGAAAGUAGGGGAUCGAAAGACCUUACGCUUUUGGAGCGGCCGAUGUCUGAUUAGCUAGUUGGUGGGGUAAGGGCCUACCAAGGCGACGAUCAGUAGUUGGUCUGAGAGGACGACCAGCCACACUGGGACUGAGACACGGCCCAGACUCCUACGGGAGGCAGCAGUGGGGGAAUUUUGGACAAUGGGCGCAAGCCUGAUCCAGCAAUGCCGCGUGAGUGAAGAAGGCCUUCGGUUGUAAGACGUCUUUCUAGUCGAGAAGAAAAGGACGUAGCAGUGAAUAACUAGUAGUUUA